rnacentral:rRNA from 1 species
UACGUAGGGCGCAAGCGUUAUCCGGAAUUAUUGGGCGUAAAGAGCUCGUAGGCGGUUUGUCGCGUCUGCCGUGAAAGUCCGGGGCUCAACUCCGGAUCUGCGGUGGGUACGGGCAGACUAGAGUGAUGUAGGGGAGUCUGGAAUUCCUGGUGUAGCGGUGAAAUGCGCAGAUAUCAGGAAGAACACCCGUGGCUAAGGCGGCUCUCUAGUACGGUACUGACGCUGAGACGCGAAAGCGUGGGGAGCGAACAGG